rnacentral:rRNA from 1 species
GAUGAACGCUAGCGGGAGGCCUAACACAUGCAAGCCGAGCGGUAUAGAAUCUUCGGAUUUUAGAGAGCGGCGUACGGUGCGGAACACGUGUGCAACCUACCUUUAUCUGGAGGAUAGCCUUUCGAAAGGAAGAUUAAUACUCCAUAAUAUAUUGAUUGGCAUCAAUUAAUAUUGAAAAGCUCCGGCGGAUAGAGAUGGGCACGCGCAAGAUUAGUAGUGGUGAGGUAACGGCUCACCAAGACGAUGAUCUUUAGGGGGCCUGAGAGGUGAUCCCCACACUGGUACUGAGACACGGACCAGACUCCUACGGGAGGCAGCAGUGAGGAAUAUUGGACAAUGGGUGCAAGCCUGAUCCAGCCAUCCCGCGUG